GGAAUAUUGGACAAUGGAGGCAACUCUGAUCCAGCCAUCCCGCGUGCAGGAUGACGGCCCUACGGGUUGUAAACUGCUUUUGUUAGGGAAGAACUCCCCGGAUUUACUCUGGGGCUGACGGUACCUUUCGAAUAAGCACCGGCUAACUCCGUGCCAGCAGCCGCGGUAAUACGGAGGGUGCAAGCGUUAUCCGGAAUUACUGGGUUUAAAGGGUGCGUAGGCGGCGCAGUAAGUCAGAGGUGAAAGGCCGUGGCUCAACCAUGGAAUUGCCUUUGAUACUGUUGCGCUUGAAUCAGGUUGAGGGCAGCGGAAUGUGGCAUGUAGCGGUGAAAUGCAUAGAUAUGCCAUAGAACACCGAUUGCGAAGGCAGCUGUUUGGGCCUGAAUUGACGCUGAGGCACGAAAGCGUGGGGAGCG
rnacentral:rRNA from 1 species